rnacentral:lncRNA from 1 species
UUUAAUUAUCUUUAAUUCGUUUGGCUUAAAAAUGGGGUCGUGAUUUCAGUAUUUGCAGAGCGUUACUUGUUGAGUUUUGCAGCAAAAUGAGCUUGUGUAAUUGUUCAGUUGUUUUACCAGGUGGCUCUUUUUUCUGCUCUUUUUAGCGUACUAGGUUUUUUUUCCCCUUACAUUUUCUUCUGAAGCUGGAUUUUGAGCUGUAAUGGCUGUCAUCUCCUCCUAAUC